rnacentral:rRNA from 1 species
CUGCUGCCUCCCGUAGGAGUUUGGGCCGUGUCUCAGCCCCAAUGUGGCCGUCCACCCUCUCAGGCCGGCUACUGAUCGUCGCCUUGGUGGGCCGUUACCCCGCCAACAAGCUAAUCAGACGCGGGUCCAUCUUACACCACCGGAGUUUUUCACACAAAUCCAUGCGGCUUCGUGCGCUUAUGCGGUAUUAGCACCUAUUUCUAAGUGUUAUCCCCCAGUGUAAGGCAGGUUACCCACGCGUUACUCACCCGUCCGCCACUAAG